ACUGAGACACGGCCCAGACUCCUACGGGAGGCAGCAGUGGGGAAUUUUGGACAAUGGGCGAAAGCCUGAUCCAGCCAUGCCGCGUGAGUGAAGAAGGCCUUCGGGUUGUAAAGCUCUUUUAGUCGGAAAGAAAGAGUUGCAAUGAAUAAUUGUGAUUUAUGACGGUACCGACAGAAAAAG
rnacentral:rRNA from 1 species